rnacentral:rRNA from 1 species
CUCGGCAAGACUUGAUUAAGUUUGAUCAUGGCUCAGGCACGAGACGNUAGCGGCGUGCCUAAUACAUGCAAGUCGAGCGAACAGAGAAGGAGCUUGCUCCUUUGACGUUAGCGGCGGACGGGUGAGUAACACGUGGGCAACCUACCUUAUAGUUUGGGAUAACUCCGGGAAACCGGGGCUAAUACCGAAUAAUCUAUUUUACUUCAUGGUGAAAUACUGAAAGACGGUUUCGGCUGUCGCUAUAAGAUGGGCCCGCGGCGCAUUAGCUAGUUGGUGAGGU